rnacentral:rRNA from 1 species
GUGGAGCAUGUGGCUUAAUUUGACUCAACGCGGGAAAUCUUACCGGGUCCGGACACACUGAGGAUUGACAGGUAUCCAAAACUGACACGCGUGCACUAUCACUAUCACUAUCGCUCUUCACAGGGUGUGUGUGUGUGUGUGUGUGUGCGCGUGUGAGAACCAUGAAAUAUGCUAGUCCUUUCAUGAUUAUGUGAUAGGUGGUGCAUGGCCGUUCUUAGUUCGUGGAGUGAUCUGUCUGCUUAAUUGCGUUUCGCUUAAGGGCCUAACCUAUAGAUUCUAUACGUGCGCAUAUAUCGCACACCCACUCACACUCUGUCAUAGUACCAUAGACCCCAUAACCCUUCAUUGGCGUGCGCGUGUCUGUGAGUAUAGUUGGCGUGUGUGGGUGAGUGUGUGUGUGUGUACUAACGAAUCUUAAUGGGCUCUGAAAGCAACGAACGUGACCGCAACCUCUUGUUGCUUCUAUAUAGCACGCCAUGCAUAUAUGUGCUCUCACCGCUAUGCUAUGCACUAUCACUCUUCACGGGGUGUGCGUGUAUGGCGUAGUGUGUACAUAUGUGUGUGUGGUGUGCUAGCGUGUGGCAUAUAUAUAUAUGCUAUCACUAUCGCUCUUCACUCGGUUCGCUGAGUGUGUGAGUGUGUGUGAUGGUGUGUGUGUGUGUGCUACACAUAUGGAAGCCAACUAGAGGGACCGCUGUGAUUUCCUUUAAGCCAGAGGAAGGUUGCGGCAAUAACAGGUCUGUGAUGCCCUUAGAUGUUCCGGGCUGCACACGUGCUACAAUGAUUGUCGCAGUGAGCAUCUCACACACUGUAAUAUUGUAUUACUCACGCCGCAGCCAGUGCUCUGGCGCUGUGUGCGCAUAUGUAUGUAUGCAUAUAUACUAUCACUAUCACUCUUCACUGAGUGUGCGUGUGUGUAUGUAUGUAUGUAUGUAUAUGCCACACAGUGCUAGCUAGCUGCGCGGUUAAGCCUACCUCGAAAGUAAGCUGGGUAAUCAAUUCGCAGUAGCAAUUUCCGUAUACGCCCAUUCUAGUAGAACUCUCAUACACACAUAUACGCCACUGCGUGUUCUCUCACGAGAUUAUGCAUACGUGUAUGUGUGUGUAUGAAGGUUGGGGCAGUUGUUAAUUCAUAGUGGGGACAGACCAUUGUUAAUUGUUGGUCUCGGUCUUAACUAGGAAUGCCUUGUACGGGUCUUUGGUUCACCAAACCACCCGGAAUACGUCCCUGCCCUUUGUACACACCGCCCGUCGCUCUUACCGAUGGACUUCUCUGUGAGUUUGAGGGACAGGGGCAUACACCCACACACACACACGUAUGCUCUGCGUGUAUGAGUGCGUGCUCUGUAUGCUCUAUGGAAACUUAAACGAACAGUGUGGUCUAAAG